rnacentral:rRNA from 1 species
UACGUAGGGUGCAAGCGUUGUCCGGAAUUUAUUGGGCGUAAAGAGCUCGUAGGCGGUUUGUCGCGUCUGCUGUGAAAACCCGAGGCUCAACCUCGGGCCUGCAGUGGGUACGGGCAGACUAGAGUGGCGGUAGGGGAGAUUGGAAUUCCUGGUGUAGCGGUGGAAUGCGCAGAUAAUCAGGAGGAACACCGAUGGCGAAGGCAGA